rnacentral:rRNA from 2 species
UACGGAGGGUGCAAGCGUUAUCCGGAUUUACUGGGUUUAAAGGGUGCGUAGGUGGGUAGGUAAGUCAGUGGUGAAAUCUUCAAGCUUAACUUGGAAACUGCCAUUGAUACUAUUUAUCUUGAAUUAUCUGGAGGUAAGCGGAAUAUGUCAUGUAGCGGUGAAAUGCUUAGAUAUGACAUAGAACACCCAUUGCGAAGGCAGCUUACUACGGAUAUAUUGACACUGAGGCACGAAAGCGUGGGGAUCAAACAGG